UUUAAUUCGAUGAUACGCGAGGAGCCUUACCUGGGCUAGAAUGCAGUUUGACCGUGGGUGAAAGCUCAUUUUGUAGCAAUACACAGAUUGCAAGGUGCUGCAUGGCUGUCGUCAGCUCGUGCCGCGAGGUGUUGGGUUAAGUCCCGCAACGAGCGCAACCCCUAUCACUAGUUGCCAUCAGGUAAAGCUGGGAACUCUAGUGAGACUGCCGUCGUAAGACGCGAGGAGGGAGAGGAUGAUGUCAAGUCAUCAUGGCCUUUAUGCCCAGGGCUACACACGUGCUACAAUGGAGCGUACAAAGGGCUGCCACCUGGCAACAGGGCGCUAAUCCCAAAAAACGCUUCUCAGUUCAGAUUGGGGUCUGCAACUCGACCCCAUGAAGCUGGAAUCGCUAGUAAUCGUAUAUCAGCAAUGAUA
rnacentral:rRNA from 1 species